rnacentral:pre_miRNA from 1 species
AAAACAAACGGACCGUUGGCUUACCGAGCAACAUCACUUGCUCGGUGGAAGAUCUCCCCUUUGUCGU